rnacentral:tRNA from 35 species
GCCUCGGUAGCUCAGUCGGUAGAGCAGAGGACUGAAAAUCCUCGUGUCGGCGGUUCGAUUCCGUCCUGAGGCACCA